rfam:Gossypium raimondii Chr13_contig_1266, whole genome shotgun sequence.
UGUAAAAAAAAUUAUCUAUUUGUACUAUUAAAAACUAACAUGAUUGAUAAAAUAAUCAGACAGUAACUCAUAGUGUGCCACAUGUACUUCAAAAUGAUGUAUGAGAACUAGUUUUUAAUAGUAGAAAUAGAUAAAAUUUUUAAUA